UACGGGAGGCAGCAGUGGGGAAUAUUGCACAAUGGGCGAAAGCCUGAUGCAGCUAUGCCGCGUGUAUGAAGAAGGCCUUAGGGUUGUAAAGUACUUUCAUCGGGGAGGAAAAAACAAAACUAAUAAUUUUAUUUCUUGACGUUACCCGAAAAAGAAGCACCGGCUAACUCCGUGCCAGCAGCCGCGGUAAUACGGAGGGUGCUAGCGUUAAUCAGAAUUACUGGGCGUAAAGAGCACGUAGAUGGUUUUUUAAGUCAGAUGUGAAAUCCCUGGGCUUAACCUGGAACUGCAUUUUGAAACUGAAAUACUAGAGUAUCGUAGAGGGAGGUAGAAUUCUAGGUGUAGCGGUGAAAUGCGUAGAUAUCUGGAGGAAUACCUGUGGCGAAAGCGGCCUCCUAAACGAAUACUGACACUGAGGUGCGAAAGCGUGGGGAGCAAACGAGGAUUGAUA
rnacentral:rRNA from 1 species